rfam:Anopheles funestus strain FTMOZ unplaced genomic scaffold supercont1.265, whole genome shotgun sequence.
AAAACGGCCCUUUUCAGGGCCACCAAUCGAUUUCACAAAGAUCAUU